rnacentral:pre_miRNA from 1 species
UCUUAUGGAUGAGCAAAGAAAGUAGAUUCUUGAGUUGGAAACUACUGCUGGGGAACAUGCUGGGAA